CGAUCCCCACCGACCGUGGCGAGCCCCCGCCCCACUCCUAGCCCUCAGGCCCUGAGCGCCUUUGCACCUUUUCCUUCUCUCCAGAAGAAAUGUCCUACAGAUACUAAAUCCUUAAUCCCAAACCGCCCCGAAAAUUAGAAAAAAAUAAUAUGCCGAGCAAGAGAAUAGCCAACGGGUUGUCCUGAAAUUCAUAAACAACUUAAAGAUGACUGAAGUUGCUGUAGAAAAUGGACUACAAUGAGAUCAAUCAGGAAGCUACUGUAGCAGUCUUGACGAGAGAUGAGGGUUCUGGCAGUGGAGAUGGUGAGAUCUUAGACUGUCAGAAGAACCAACAUACUAAUAGACUGGAUGUGGGAUAUGAGGAAAAAAGGAAUCUAGAAUGAUGCUUAGAAAUUUGGCCUGAGCAAAUAGGUUGAAAAUUACACUAUUCACAAAGA